UCGCUGUGAAGAUGCAGUGUACCCGCGGCAAGACGGAAAGACCCCGUGAACCUUUACUAUAGCUUGACACUGAACAUUGAGCCUUGAUGUGUAGGAUAGGUGGGAGGCUUAGAAGUGUGGACGCCAGUCUGCAUGGAGCCGACCUUGAAAUACCACCCUUUAAUGUUUGAUGUUCUAACGUUGACCCGUAAUCCGGGUUGCGGACAGUGUCUGGUGGGUAGUUUGACUGGGGCGGUCUCCUCCUAAAGAGUAACGGAGGAGCACGAAGGUUGGCUAAUCCUGGUCGGACAUCAGGAGGUUAGUGCAAUGGCAUAAGCCAGCUUGACUGCGAGCGUGACGGCGCGAGCAGGUGCGAAAGCAGGUCAUAGUGAUCCGGUGGUUCUGAAUGGAAGGGCCAUCGCUCAACGGAUAAAAGGUACUCCGGGGAUAACAGGCUGAUACCGCCCAAGAGUUCAUAUCGACGGCGGUGUUUGGCACCUCGAUGUCGGCUCAUCACAUCCUGGGGCUGAAGUAGGUCCCAAGGGUAUGGCUGUUCGCCAUUUAAAGUGGUACGCGAGCUGGGUUUAGAACGUCGUGAGACAGUUCGGUCCCUAUCUGCCGUGGGCGCUGGAGAACUGAGGGGGGCUGCUCCUAGUACGAGAGGACCGGAGUGGACGCAUCACUGGUGUUCGGGUUGUCAUGCCAAU
rnacentral:rRNA from 1 species